GACGAACGCUGGCGGCGUGCUUAACACAUGCAAGUCGAACGGAAAGGCCCUGCUUUUGUGGGGUGCUCGAGUGGCGAACGGGUGAGUAACACGUGAGUAACCUGCCCUUGACUUUGGGAUAACUUCAGGAAACUGGGGCUAAUACCGGAUAGGAGCUCCUGCUGCAUGGUGGGGGUUGGAAAGUUUCGGCGGUUGGGGAUGGACUCGCGGCUUAUCAGCUUGUUGGUGGGGUAGUGGCUUACCAAGGCUUUGACGGGUAGCCGGCCUGAGAGGGUGACCGGCCACAUUGGGACUGAGAGACGGCCCAGACUCGUACGGGAGGCAGCAGUGGGGAAUAUUGCACAAUGGGAGGAAGCCUGAUGCAGCAACGCCGCGUGCGGGAUGACGGCCUUCGGGUUGUAAACCGCUUUCGCCUGUGACGAAGCGUGAGUGACGGUAAUGGGUAAAGAAGCACCGGCUAACUACGUG
rnacentral:rRNA from 1 species